GGCACCGUGGCUCAGGGGAAAGAGCCUGGGCUUCGGAGUCAGAGGUCACGGGUUCGACUCCCGGCUCGGCCA
rfam:Ornithorhynchus anatinus chromosome 7, whole genome shotgun sequence.